rnacentral:rRNA from 1 species
GACGGAGGAUGCAAGUGUUAUCCGGAAUCACUGGGCGUAAAGCGUCUGUAGGUGGUUCGAAAAGUCCACUGUUAAAAAUUGAGGCUUAACUUCAAAGAUGCCGUGGAAACUUUCAAACUAGAGUAUGGUAGGGGUAGAGGGAAUUUCCAGUGGAGCGGUGAAAUGCGUAGAGAUGACGGAGGAACACCGAUGGCGAAGGCAGCCCCCUGGGCUAACACUGACGCUCGAGGCACGAAAGCGUGGGGAGCAAACAGG